ACGGGAGGCAGCAGUGGGGAAUAUUGGGCAAUGGGGGCAACCCUGACCCAGCAACGCCGCGUGAAGGGAGAAGGCUUUCGGGUUGUAAACUUCUUUUACCAGGGACGAAGGACGUGACGGUACCUGGAGAAAAAGCCACGGCUAACUACGUGCCAGCAGCCGCGGUAAUACGUAGGUGGCAAGCGUUGUCCGGAUUUACUGGGUGUAAAGGGAGCGCAGGCGGGACAGCAAGUUGGAUGUGAAAUACCGAGGCUUAACCACGGAGCUGCAUCCAAAACUGUUGUUCUUGAGUGAAGUAGAGGUAGGCGGAAUUCCGAGUGUAGCGGUGAAAUGCGUAGAUAUUCGGAGGAACACCAGUGGCGAAGGCGGCCUACUGGGCUUUAACUGACGCUGAGGCUCGAAAGUGUGGGGAGCAAACAGGAUUAGAUACCCUGGUA
rnacentral:rRNA from 1 species